UACGAAGGGGGCUAGCGUUGCUCGGAAUCACUGGGCGUAAAGGGUGCGUAGGCGGGUCUUUAAGUUAGGGGGGAAAUCCUGGAGCUCAACUCCAGAACUGCCUUUGAUACUGAGGAUCUUGAGUUCGGGAGAGGUGAGUGGAACUGCGAGUGUAGAGGUGAAAUUCGUAGAUAUUCGCAAGAACACCAGUGGCGAAGGCGGCUCACUGGCCCGAUACUGACGCUGAGGCACGAAAGCGUGGGGAGCAAACAGG
rnacentral:rRNA from 1 species